GGAUGUGAGGCCGAUCUGGCUGUGACGUCCGUCACCCCAUUGGUCUCCAGGGUUGAUUCGGCUGAUGUGGCUGGCGAGGCAGUGUCCCCUCCUCCCUCAGUGCUCCCUCCUGAAGCUGCGCGCUCGGUCAAAGAGGACCACCCCCCCCAAUAGAGGGGGACCGUUCCUCGGUGAAGGGUAUACGAGUAGCUGCCUCCCUUGCUAGAACUCCAGACAAGCUCUCCCUUGGUAUUUAGGUCGUAACUUUGAACUUCCGUCCCUCACACACAAAGAAUUUCUGACUUUCCAGUUCUUGAAGUUCUCU
rnacentral:snRNA from 1 species